UACGGAGGGUGCAAGCGUUAUCCGGAUUCACUGGGUUUAAAGGGUGCGUAGGAGGGCAGGUAAGUCAGUGGUGAAAUCUUCGAGCUUAACUCGGAAACUGCCGUUGAUAUUAUCUGUCUUGAAUACCGUGGAGGUGAGCGGAAUAUGUCAUGUAGCGGUGAAAUGCUUAGAUAUGACAUAGAACACCGAUUGCGAAGGCAGCUCACUACACGAAUAUUGACUCUGAGGCACGAAAGCGUGGGGAUCAAACAGG
rnacentral:rRNA from 1 species